AAGAAACCAACAGGGAUUGCCCUAGUAACGGCGAGUGAAGCGGCAACAGCUCAAAUUUGAAAGCUGGCUCUCGGGCCCGCAUUGUAAUUUGCAGAGGAUGCUUCUGGCGACGCGCCUUCCGAGUUCCCUGGAACGGGACGCCAUAGAGGGUGAGAGCCCCGUCCGGUCGUGCGCCUAGCCUCUGUGAAGCUCCUUCGACGAGUCGAGUAGUUUGGGAAUGCUGCUCAAAAUGGGAGGUAUACGUCUUCUAAAGCUAAAUACCGGCCAGAGACCGAUAGCGCACAAGUAGAGUGAUCGAAAGAUGAAAAGCACUUUGAAAAGAGAGUUAAAAAGUACGUGAAAUUGUUGAAAGGGAAGCGCUCAUGACCAGACUUGGGCUGGCCCGAUCAUCCGGCGUUCUCGCCGGUGCACUCGGGCCGCCCAGGCCAGCAUCAGCUUUCGCCGGGGGAUAAAGGCGGCGGGAAUGUGGCUCCCUCGGGAGUGUUAUAGCCCGCCGUGCAAUACCCUGGUGGGGGCUGAGGUUCGCGCGUAUGCACGGAUGCUGGCGUAAUGGUUAUCAGCGACCCG
rnacentral:rRNA from 1 species